rnacentral:rRNA from 1 species
CCUUGGAACAGGACGUCAUGGAGGGUGAGAAUCCCGUANGCGACCGGNNACCNNCCCCNUGUGAAACCCCUUCGACGAGUCGAGUUGUUUGGGAAUGCAGCUCCAAAUGGGUGGUAAAUUNCAUCUAAAGCUAAAUACCGGCCGGAGACCGAUAGCGCACAAGUAGAGUGAUCGAAAGAUGAAAAGCACUUUGGAAAGAGAGUCAAACAGUACGUGAAAUUGUUGAAAGGGAAGCGCUUGCGACCAGACCUGGUCCCGGGCGAUC